UGAGGAAUAUUGGUCAAUGGACGAGAGUCUGAACCAGCCAAGUAGCGUGAAGGAUGAAGGUUCUAUGGAUUGUAAACUUCUUUUAUACGGGAAUAAACGGAUCCACGUGUGGAUUUUUGCAUGUACCGUAUGAAUAAGGAUCGGCUAACUCCGUGCCAGCAGCCGCGGUAAUACGGAGGAUCCGAGCGUUAUCCGGAUUUAUUGGGUUUAAAGGGAGCGUAGAUGGGUUGUUAAGUCAGUUGUGAAAGUUUGCGGCUCAACCGUAAAAUUGCAAUUGAUACUGGCAGUCUUGAGUACAGUUGAGGUAGGCGGAAUUCGUGGUGUAGCGGUGAAAUGCUUAGAUAUCACGAAGAACUCCGAUUGCGAAGGCAGCUUACUAACCUGUAACUGACAUUGAUGCUCGAAAGUGUGGGUAUCAAACAGGAUUAGAUACCCUGGUAGUCCACACGGUAAACGAUGAAUACUCGCUGUAGGCGAUAUACGGUCUGCGGCCAAGCGAAAGCAUUAAGUAUUCCACCUGGGGAGUACGCCGGCAACGGUGAAACUCAAAGGAAUUGACGGGGGCCCGCACAAGCGGAGGAACAUGUGGUUUAAUUCGAUGAUACGCGAGGAACCUUACCCGGGCUUAAAUUGCAACCGAAUAUGGCGGAAACGCUAUAGCUAGCAAUAGCGGUUGUGAAGGUGCUGCAUGGUUGUCGUCAGCUCGUGCCGUGAGGUGUCGGCUUAAGUGCCAUAACGAGCGCAACCCUUGCCGAUAGUUACUAACAGGUUAUGCUGAGGACUCUGUCGGGACUGCCAUCGUAAGAUGUGAGGAAGGUGGGGAUGACGUCAAAUCAGCACGGCCCUUACGUCCGGGGCUACACACGUGUUACAAUGGGGGGUACAGAGGGCUGCUACCACGCAAGUGGAUGCCAAUCCCAAAAACCUCUCUCAGUUCGGAUUGAAGUCUGCAACCCGACUUCAUGAAGCUGGAUUCGCUAGUAAUCGCGCAUCAGCCACGGCGCGGUGAAUACGUUCCU
rnacentral:rRNA from 1 species